CGGCAUAGUGUCGUGGGUGCAAUAGGAGUGAGUGUUUGGGAUGGAACGAAGAUUAAAUGAUGGAGGGCUUGUAGAAAACAAAGGUUUUGGUGGAAAUGGAAGAUGGGUAUGGUUCAAGAAGAAGAAGAAGGACAAGAAGGGGAUUUUUGGAGAUGAGAGGAAGUGAGAUGUGGGUCAAGAAGAAGGGAAGAUGGGUGCGGUUGAACCAGAAGAACAAGAAGAAGAAGGGGGCUUUUGGAGAUGAGAGGAAGUGAGAGAUAAGAAAGCUUUUGGUGGAAAGGAAAGAUGGGUGUAGGUCAAGAAGAGAAAGAAGGAGAGAGAGAGCGGGGCGGCGGCGCUUGACUGGAGAUGAGAAGAAGAGAUGGGGUUGUCUACAAUGGAGAGAUAUGGUACUUAUGGUGAU
rnacentral:lncRNA from 1 species